AGGAAACAGUUUAGCAGCAGUAAUAUUUUCAAAUAAGUUUCACGCCUUUUUCAUCUGAUCCCUGGACUCUAAUCAAAGCAAAGGAUAACUCUGAGACAGCUCCCAACUCUGGGAUGCUCCCCAUCUGGGUUAAGUACAGCCUGGAGGAAAUGAUUUUGGAAUGAAGCCUGAUACAGAGGAUGGGAAGAAAAGCCAAGCCACCAUGAAGUUUUCUAACAAUUUUCUGCAACUUUGAUCUGUACCCUUUGAUUUUCGGCUGUGGUUCUAACAGUUAGCUGGUGUUGAAGUGAGUGCCACAAAAAAGAACUUAUUUCCAGCACAGCUGCCCUUCUUUACCUAUGAACCCUAUUGCACAUCACUGUGACCUAAGGACAAGGACUGUCAGCUCAAUGAGAUCUAUAACCGGAAUUUCAGAAACACCUGCUCCAUAGAGGCAAGACGAAGAGUCAUUGCCUGAAAGAAGGAAUAAUUCAGUUUCCCAAGGUGGCUCAGAACAUGAAGCAGAAGACUUCAGGAGAGAGAAGAGAAAUCCAGUCCUGGCAUAUGGAAACCAGCUGAAAGACUGAAGAAAGAGGCAGACAGACCCAUGGUUGUACAUACAGCAGUUUAGUAGGAACUUGUGGACAGAAGUGUGCCUUGGACAGCAGUAAGACAUAAAGCUCUCUGUGACCAAAGGAAAGG